UACGGGGGGGGUAAGCGUUGUUCGGAAUUACUGGGCGUAAAGGGCUCGUAGGCGGCCAACUAAGUCGGACGUGAAAUCCCUCAGCUUAACUGGGGAACUGCGUCCGAUACUGGAUGGCUUGGAUUUGGGAGAGGGAUGCGGAAUUCCAGGUGUAGCGGUGAAAUGCGUAGAUAUCGUAAGGAAGACCAGUGGCGAAGGCGAGUCUCUGGACAGCAACUGACGCUGAGGCACGAAGGCCAAGGGGAGCGAA
rnacentral:rRNA from 1 species